CCUACGGGAGGCAGCAGUGGGGAAUAUUGGACAAUGGGCGAAAGCCUGAUCCAGCAAUGCCGCGUGAGUGAUGAAGGCCUUAGGGUUGUAAAGCUCUUUUACCAGGGAUGAUAAUGACAGUACCUGGAGAAUAAGCUCCGGCUAACUCCGUGUCAGCAGCCGCGGUAAUACGGAGGGAGCUAGCGUUGUUCGGAAUUACUGGGCGUAAAGCGUACGUAGGCGGUUAUUCAAGUCAGAGGUGAAAGCCUGGAGCUCAACUCCAGAACUGCCUUUGAAACUAGAUAGCUAGAAUCUUGGAGAGGUGAGUGGAAUUCCGAGUGUAGAGGUGAAAUUCGUAGAUAUUCGGAAGAACACCAGUGGCGAAGGCGACUCACUGGACAAGUAUUGACGCUGAGGUACGAAAGCGUGGGGAGCAAACAGGAUUAGAUACCCUGGUAGUCCACGCCGUAAACGAUGAUAACUAGCUGUUCGGGCUCUACGAGCUUGAGUGGCGCAGCUAACGCAUUAAGUUAUCCGCCUGGGGAGUACGGUCGCAAGAUUAAAACUCAAAUGAAUUGACGG
rnacentral:rRNA from 1 species